UACAGAGGGGGCAAGCGUUGUUCGGAAUUACUGGGCGUAAAGGGCGCGUAGGCGGCCUGCUAAGUCGAACGUGAAAUCCCUGGGCUCAACCCAGGAACUGCGUCCGAUACUGGUUGGCUUGAAUCCGGGAGAGGGACGUGGAAUUCCAGGUGUAGCGGUGAAAUGCGUAGAUAUCUGGAGGAAUACCGGUGGCGAAGGCGGCAUCCUGGACCAUUACUGACGCUGAAUCGCGAAAGCUAGGGGAGCAAACGGG
rnacentral:rRNA from 1 species